rnacentral:rRNA from 1 species
UUGAUCCUGGCUCAGGAUUACGCUGGCGAGAUGUCUAAUACAUGCAAGUCGAGCGCCCGCUUCGGCGGGAGCGGCGAACGGGUGAGUAACGCGUUGGAACCUGCCCCGGACUCAGGGAUAACCACCGGAAACGGUUGGCUAAUACCGGAUAGUCCCGCAAGGGUAAAGCUUUUGCGGUUCGGGAGGGUCCUGCGGCCUAUCAGCUUGUUGGUAAGGUAACGGCUUACCAAGGCUAUGACGGGUAGCUGGUCUGAGAGGAUGACCAGUCACAAUGGGACUGAGACACGGCCCAUACUCCUACGGGAGGCAGCAGUAAAGAAUCUUUCGCAAUGGGGGAAACCCUGACGAAGCAAUCUCGCGUGAUUGAUGAAGGCCGAAAGGUUGUAAAAAUCUUUUCUGAGGGAAUAAUUCUGAAGGUACCUUAGGAAUAAGCACCGGCUAACUCCGUGCCAGCAGCCGCGGUAAUACGGAGGGUGCAAGCGUUAUCCGGAAUCAUUGGGCGUAAAGCGUCCGCAGGCGGUUUGUUAAGUUGGUUAUUAAAUCUUGAAGCCCAACUUUAAGGCUGUAACCAAAACUAGCAAACUAGAGUCUUUCAAAGGUACGUGGAAUUCUGUAUGUAGGGGUAAAAUCCGUAGAUAUACAGAGGAACACCAAAAGCGAAGGCAACGUACUGGGAAAGUACUGACGCUCAUGGACGAAAGCGUGGGGAGCGAACGGGAUUAGAUACCCCGGUAGUCCACGCCGUAAACGAUGGAUACUAGGUGUUGGGAGGAAUCGACCCCUCUCAGUGCCGACGCUAACGCAUUAAGUAUCCCGCCUGGGGAGUACGGUCGCAAGAUUAAAACUCAAAGGAAUAGACGGGGACCCACACAAGCGGUGGAGCAUCUGGUUUAAUUCGAUAAUGAGCGAGGAACCUUACCUAGGCUUGACAUCCCGAGAAUUUCCUGGAAACAGGAAAGUGCCUUCUGGAACUCGGUGACAGGUGUUGCAUGGUCGUCGUCAGCUCGUGCCUUGAGGUGUUCGGUUAAGUCCGUAAACGAGCGCAACCCAUGUCCUGUGUUGUAUAUUUCACAGGAGACUGCCNCCGCCAAACGGGGAGGAAGGUAUGGAUGACGUCAGAUCAGCAUGGCCCUUAUGCCUAGGGCUACACAGGUGCUACAAUGGUCGGUAUAAUGGCAGCAAUACUGUAAAGUGGAGCCAAUCCCUAAACCGAUCUAAGUUCGAAUUGAGGGCUGCAUUCGCCCUCAUGAAGUUGGAAUCGCUAGUAAACGCGGAUCAGCAAUGGCGCGUUGAAUGUGUUCCUGGGUCUUGUACUCACCGCCCGUCACACUACGGAAGGUGGGGGCGCCCGAAGU